AAUAGAUACCCGGGUAGUCCACGCCGUAAACGAUGAAUGCUAGGUGUUAGGGGUUUCGAUACCCUUGGUGCCGAAGUUAACACAUUAAGCAUUCCGCCUGGGGAGUACGGCCGCAAGGCUGAAACUCAAAGGAAUUGACGGGGACCCGCACAAGCAGUGGAGUAUGUGGUUUAAUUCGAAGCAACGCGAAGAACCUUACCAGGUCUUGACAUCCCCCUGACCGGUACAGAGAUGUACCUUUCCUUCGGGACAGGGGAGACAGGUGGUGCAUGGUUGUCGUCAGCUCGUGUCGUGAGAUGUUGGGUUAAGUCCCGCAACGAGCGCAACCCUUGACUUUAGUUGCCAGCAAGUAAGGUUGGGCACUCUAGAGUGACUGCCGGUGACAAACCGGAGGAAGGUGGGGAUGACGUCAAAUCAUCAUGCCCCUUAUGACCUGGGCUACACACGUACUACAAUGGCCGGUACAACGGGAAGCGAAGGAGCGAUCUGGAGCGAAUCCUUUAAAGCCGGUCUCAGUUCGGAUUGCAGGCUGCAACUCG
rnacentral:rRNA from 1 species